ACCUAAUAGAUACCCUGGUAGUCCACGCCCUAAACGAUGCGAACUGGAUGUUGGGUACAUUACGGUACUCAGUGUCGAAAGCUAAACGCGUUAAGUUCGCCGCCUGGGGAGUACGGUCGCAAGACUGAAACUCAAAGGAAUUGACGAGGGCCCGCACAAGCGGUGGAGUAUGUGGUUUAAAUUCGAUGCAACGCGAAGAACCUUACCUGGCCUUGACAUCUGUCGAAUCCUGCAGAGAUGCGGGAGUGCCGCAAGGAACGACAAGACAGGUGCUGCAUGGCUGUCGUCAGCUCGUGUCGUGAGAUGUUGGGUUAAGUCCCGCAACGAGCGCAACCCUUGUCCCUAGUUGCCAGCACAUCAUGGUGGGAACUCUAGGGAGACUGCCGGUGACAAACCGGAGGAAGGUGGGGA
rnacentral:rRNA from 1 species